AUUGAACGCUGGCGGCAGGCUUAACACAUGCAAGUCGAGCGGGGAAAGGUAGCUUGCUACUGGACCUAGCGGCGGACGGGUGAGUAAUGCUUAGGAAUCUGCCUAUUAGUGGGGGACAACAUCUCGAAAGGGAUGCUAAUACCGCAUACGUCCUACGGGAGAAAGCAGGGGACCUUCGGGCCUUGCGCUAAUAGAUGAGCCUAAGUCGGAUUAGCUAGUUGGUGGGGUAAAGGCCUACCAAGGCGACGAUCUGUAGCGGGUCUGAGAGGAUGAUCCGCCACACUGGGACUGAGACACGGCCCAGACUCCUACGGGAGGCAGCAGUGGGGAAUAUUGGACAAUGGGGGGAACCCUGAUCCAGCCAUGCCGCGUGUGUGAAGAAGGCCUUUUGGUUGUAAAGCACUUUAAGCGAGGAGGAGGCUACCGAGAUUAAUACUCUUGGAUAGUGAACGUUACUCGCAGAAUAAGCACCGGCUAACUCUGUGCCAGCAGCCGCAGUAA
rnacentral:rRNA from 1 species